UGUAACGCCUUAAUUAAUUAU
rnacentral:siRNA from 1 species